UACCGAGGUCCCAAGCGUUACUGAGAAUCACUGGGGUUAAAGGGUGCGUAGGUGGUCCGUUAAGUCAGUUGUGAAAUCCCCGGGCUUAACCCGGGAACUGCUUCUGAUACUGGCGGACUUGAGGCCAGUAGGGGUCACUAGAACUGACGGUGGAGCGGUGAAAUGCGUAGAUAUCGUCAGGAAUGCCGGUGGUGAAGACGGGUGACUGGGCUGGUUCUGACACUGAGGCACGAAAGCGUGGGAGCGAACGGG
rnacentral:rRNA from 1 species